UACGUAGGGGGCUAGCGUUGUCCGGAAUCAUUGGGCGUAAAGCGCGCGUAGGCGGCCAGAUAAGUCCGGUGUGAAAGUCACAGGCUCAACCUGUGAAUGCCGCUGGAAACUGUCUGGCUUGAGUCCGGAAGGGGCGAGUGGAAUUCCUGGUGUAGCGGUGAAAUGCGCAGAUAUCAGGAGGAACACCGGUGGCGAAGGCGGGUCUCUGGGCCGAUAUUGACGCUGAGGAGCGAAAGCGUGGGGAGCAAACAGG
rnacentral:rRNA from 1 species